AAUACAGCGGACCAUACACUAUAACUAAGAACAGAAAUCUAGUUUCUAUCUGAUAAACAAUAGCGGCAGCGACCUCGCAAAAAGUUGUGUAAAGACUAGUUAAAAAAUCCGACUUGUUGUUACUCUCAAUAAAUAAAGAUGCGAUGAAAAAAAGUUACCUCAUUUAUUGAUUUUAUUGAAUCAGUGCGAAUGAGAAAACAUAAUUGUACAUAGUGCAAUAGUGCCAAAAGAAAAUCCCAAAAAGGGUGAUAAAAAAAACGAUUGAAACACGCAUGUCAUUCGCGCUCGUACAACAAGAAGCAUUGGAAAUCAGGUGAACAGAAUUGGAAAUAGGAGCAGCAGCAAUAUCAUCAGAAGCAGCAAAUAUAAAUUGUUAAGUAUGUGAAAAUAAGUGUGUUGUUUGAAAUUUUUUGAUUGAAUGUAUUUACAUUUCUGUAAAAAUUGUAUAUUAAUAAAGAAGAAAUAAAAAAAUUAUUAAAUAUAAAUUUAAAAUGUUUGUUUAGAAUUCUAAAAAUAUUUUAAGUUAGGAAUCAAAAAAUGUAACCCUGCACCAGCUGACGAUUAGGGUAAUUAGAGCAGUUCGACUAUGUUUAUAUAAGUUAAGAUAGCAAGUGUAGCUACAUCUACAAUUUCUUUGGCUGCAGUGAGCGGCUUGAUUUUUUACUCAAUAAUGAGCAUCAUUAUUACUCAGCGCAUGCGUUAUCACAACAACAACAACAAGCACAGCUUCUCGGGUGUGCGCUGCUCCAUUUCAUACUCGAGCAUAGCAACAACGAUGUCGUGCUGCAAUGAAGUAACAAUACAUUGCGCUCCACUAGCGGAUAAUGGAUUAAGAGCUCAAACAGAAAUACGGCACUUAAGAAAACGAGGAAUAAUUAUUGCCAAACUCUACUAAUUACGCUCAAGACGCAAUGCGACAAUCGGUAAGGACUCGCACCGUAAUACCGCACUAAGGGAAGUGGGAAAUAGUUGUUGCAUAGCCUUGCGAAUAACACUCAAGCCGCAAUGCGGCAAUCGGUGCAUCUGGUAAAAUAUUGGGUUGGUUGAUCGCGGAGUAAUUUAUUAAAGCUCAAAAUAAAAUCUGCAUUAAAACGACUAGGUCAGCCUUAACUUAUAUAUUUAACUUACAUAUAUGACACUGCUAAUGAGCGCACCAGAGAUGUAUUACUAUGUUCGGACCGACAUUGAAAACAUUUUGAAAACACAUUUGUAUGUUGUGGAAUGUACUCGUAAGUCGUUCGGACCGACAAUUUGUGUUUUCGUUGAGUUUUCACAGACAGCUCACAAAUUUAUUUGUUUGUUUACAUUUGAGCAACGAGAAUGGUAAGUUUUGAAAUCCUUAAUACUUGCUUAUAAUUAUUACUAAAUAUCGUGUUUUUUAGAAUUCUGAGAAAAAGAUGUUAAUUGCGAAAGCAUUUGCUUUGAGAAGCCAAAUAAAUAUCCUGCUCAACGACAAUUCUUCAAGAGAACUAUUGGAAUGUCUUACUACUCAGCGCCAUGCCUUGACAAAAAAGAUAGCCGAGUUAAAGAAACAACAUCUAAUCGUAUUAGAUUUAAUGAAGGACCUUGGGAUGCCGAUUAAUUCAUGUUGGACAAAACUGUGUAUAUGUUCCUACUGAUGCAGAAGUUUUCAAUUAUAUAUUAUUAAUUCCAGCAACGUACGAAUCAGUUUUGGGAACACGAUUGCCGACGAAACAGAUCUGCUUUUUUUAAAGAGUACUUUCGCAUGGACCGAAGUUCCUUUGAUAAAUGAUGUGACAUCGUGCGCCCGUUACAAAAAAUGAAUACAAAUUACCAGAAAGCUAUUCGUAUCGAGAAAAGAGUGGCUAUAACAUUAUUUGCUUUAGGGUCAUCUGCAGAGUAUCGUAGUAUCGCCAACAUGUUCGGUGUAGGAAAAUCUACGGUUCCGGGAUUGCUGCAACCAUUCUAUUUUAAAAUGUUUCCUCUAAACAGAGAAAAUAUAACCGAAUUGGUGACUGGUUUCGAGGUAAUUGGAUUCCCACAAUGCUUAGGAGCAAUUGGUAAAUCUUCUUCUUAAUUGGCGUAGACACCGCUUACGCGAUUAUAGCCGAGUUAACAACAGCGCGCCAGCCGUUUCUUCUUUCCGCUACGUAGCUUCAAUUGGAUAUUCCAAUCGAAGCCAGGACCUUCUCCACUUGGUCCUUCCAACGAAGUGGAGGUGUUCUUCUUCCUCUGGGGUACUGCGUCGAAUACUUUCAGAGCUGAAGUGUUUUCGUCGAUCCGGACAACAUGACCUAGCCAACGUAGCCGCUGUCUUUUAAUUCGCUGAACUGUGUCAAUGUCGUCGUAUAUCUCGUAAAGCUCAUCGUUCCAUCGAAUGCGAUAUUUGCCGUGGCUAACGCGCAAAGGACCAUAAAUCUUUCGCAGAACUUUUCUCUCGAAAACUCGCAACGCCGACUCAUCCGUUGUUGACAUCGUCCAAGCCUCUGCACCAUAUAGCAGGACGGGAAUUAUGAGCGACUUAUAGAGUUUGAUUUUUGUUUGUCGAGAGAGGACUUUGCUUCUCAAUUGCCUACUCAGUCCAAAGUAGCACCUGUUGGCAAGAGUUAUCCUGCGUUGGAUUUCUAGGCUGACAUUGUUGGUCGAGUUUACGCUAGUUCCAAUAUAGACGAAAGUAUCUACAACUUCAAAAUAAUGACUGUCAACAAUGACGUGAGUGCCAAGUCGCGAGUAAGACGACUGUUUGUUUGAUGACAGGAGAUAUUUCGUCUUGCCCUCGUUCACUGCCAGACCCAUUUGCGUUGCUUCCUUGUCCAGUAUGGAGAAAGCAGAACUAACGGCGCGGGUGUAGAGGCCGAUGAUAUCAAUAUCAUCGGCAUACACCAGCAGUUGUACACUCUUAUAGAAGAUGGUACCUUCUCUAUUUAGUUCUCCAGCUCGAACUAUUUUCUCCAGAAGCAGAAUGAAAAAGUCGCACGAUAGGGAAUCGCCUUGUCUGAAACCUCAUUUGGUAUCGAACGGCUCGGAAAGGUCCUUCCCGAUUCUGACGGAGCUUUUGGUAUUGCUCAACGUCAGCUUACACAUCUGUAUUAGUUUUGCAAUUGGUUAUAAAAUAUUAAAUUUGCGCUAAUGUUCUAAUAAUUGUUUACAGACAGAUGCGACAUUGAGAUUCAUCCAUCAUCUGACGAAGGUGUGGAUUAUUAUAAUUAUAAAGGAUGGUAUUCCACCGUUUUAAUGGUAUUAGUUGAUGCUAAGUAAAGUCUAAAAACUCAAUAUACCUAUAAGUACAAAAGUAAUGUUUACAAUGUAUUUUCAGAUACCGUUUUCCUUACAUAAACGUAGGAAGUCCCGGGUGAUGUAAUGACUCUCAAAUUUAUGAGACGUCAUCACUUAAGAAAGAAAUUGAUAGUUGUCCUUUACUAAGCGAAAUGUCGAGAGAAAUUUCAGACGUAAAUAUGCCAGUAUUCAUUAUUGGGGACGCGCUUUGGAAGAGUUGGAGACUAGACGGCAAAAUCCGUGUGAUGUUUCAUAUGCACCUGACGAUCCAAUUAAUGGAUAAAUGAUUCGGACAGCACUUUGUACAUAUUUUGCGCGAAUCCGUCGCUGUGCGUUUAGGACAUCUCAGUCGCCGCUUGGAGCUCCCGUGAGGCGUGCUUGUCAAUGCGGUAAGUGUCACUGAUUUUGAAAUAUAACGACCGCGUGAGUCGAAAUGACGCAUGACUAUCUUUUACGUAUCUUUUAAGAUUUUAACUUAUACGAUAAUUAUAUUGUUAUUUCAUGUUCUACUUACGUGAUAACUUAUUAUAUAUAUAUUUGUUUUCUUGUUAUAGAUAUCGUGACUAAAAUAUAAUAAAAUGGGUAGUCCUUUAGACAAUGAGCGUAUCCUCUCUGCUCUUCUGCAAAGCGAUGACGAGCUCGUUGGUGAGGAUUCUGACAGUGAAAUAUCAGAUCACGUAAGUGAAGAUGACGUCCAGAGCGAUACAGAAGAAGCGAAAUAUUAGAACAAAAUAUUAUUGAACAACCAGGUUCUUCAUUGGCUUCUAACAGAAUCUUGACCUUGCCACAGAGGACUAUUAGAGGUAAGAAUAAACAUUGUUGGUCAACUUCAAAGUCCACGAGGCGUAGCCGAGUCUCUGCACUGAACAUUGUCAGAUCUCAAAGAGGUCCGACGCGUAUGUGCCGCAAUAUAUAUGACCCACUUUUAUGCUUCAAACUAUUUUUUACUGAUGAGAUAAUUUCGGAAAUCGUAAAAUGGACAAAUGCUGAGAUAUCAUUGAAACGUCGGGAAUCUAUGACAGGUGCUACAUUUCGAGACACGAAUGAAGAUGAAAUCCAUGCUUUGUUUGGUAUUCUGGUAAUGACAGCAGUGAGAAAAGAUAACCACAUGUCCACAGAUGACCUCUAUGAUCGAUCUUUGUCAAUGGUGUACGUCUCUGUAAUGAGUCGUGAUCGUUUUGAUUUUUUGAUACGAUGUCUUCGAAUGGAUGACAAAAGUAUACGGCCCACACUUCGAGGAAACGAUGUAUUUACUCCUGUUAGAAAAAUAUGGGAUCUCUUUAUCCAUCAGUGCAUACAUAAUUACACUCCAGGGGCUCAUUUGACCAUAGAUGAACAGUUACUUGGGUUUAGAGGACGGUGUCCGUUUAGAAUGUAUAUUCCCAACAAGCCAAGUAAGUAUGGAAUAAAAAUCCUCAUGAUGUGUGACAGUGGUACAAAGCACAUGAUAAAUGGAAUGCCUUAUUUGGAAAGAGGAACUCAGACCAACGGAGUACCACUCGGUGAAUACUACGUGAAGGAGUUAUCAAAGCCUGUGCACGGUAGUUGUCGUAAUAUUACGUGUGAAAAUUGGUUCACCUCAAUCCCUUUGGCAAAAAACUUACUACAAGAACCGUACAAGUUAACCAUUGUGGAUCAAACAAACGCGAGAUACCGGAAGUACUGAAAAACAGUCGCUCCAGGCCAGUGGGGACAUCGAUGUUUUGUUUUGACGGACCCCUUACUCUCGUCUCCAAUAAACCGAAGCCAGCUAAGAUGGUAUACUUAUUAUCAUCUUGUGAUGAGGAUGCUUCCAUCAACGAAAGUACCGGUAAACCGCAAAUGAUUAUGUAUUAUAACCAGACUAAAGGCGGAGUGGACACGCUAGACCAAAUGUGUUCUGUGAUGUCCUGCAGUAGGAAGACGAAUAGGUGGCCUAUGGCAUUAUUGUACGGAAUGAUAAACAUUGCCUGCAUAAAUUCUUUUAUUAUAUACAGCCAUAAUGUUAGUAGCAAGGGAGAAAAGGUUCAAAGUCGCAAAAAUUUUAUGAAAAACCUUAACAUGAGCCUGACGUCAUCGUUUAUGCGUAAGCGUUUAGAAGCUCCUACUUUGAAGAGAUAUUUGCGCGAUAAUAUCUCUAAUAUUUUGCCAAAUGAAAUGCCUGGUACAUCAGAAGACAGUACUGAAGAGCCAGUAACGAAAAAACGUACUUACUGUACUUACUGCCCCUCUAAAAUAAGGCGAAAGGCAAAUGCAUCGUGCAAAAAAUGCAAAAAAGUUAUUUGUCGAGAGCAUAAUAUUGAUAUUUGCCAAAGUUGUUUCUGACUGACUAAUAAGUAAAAUUUGUUUCUAAUAUGUAUAAGAUAUGCUAAUUAUUUAUUUUAUAAUACAACACGACUGAUUUCAUAGUACAAAAUAAGUUUAUUUUGUAAAAGAGAGAAUGUUUAAAAGUUUUGUUACUUUAUAGAAGAAGUUUUAAGUUUUUGUUUUUUUUUUAAUGAAUAAAUAAACAUAAAUAAAUUAUUUGUUGAAUUUAUUAUUAGUAUGUAAGUGUAAAUAUAAUAAAACGUAAUAUCUAUUCAAAUUAAUAAAUAAACCUCGAUAUACAGACCGAUAAAACACAUGCGUCAAUUUUACGCAUGAUUAUCUUUAACGUACGUCACAAUAUGAUUAUCUUUCUAGGGUUAAAUUCCUGGCUUUCUCGAGCUGUUUUUCAAUUUUUUUAAUAUGAGGCUCUGAAAAUGAUUCCUUUU